rnacentral:rRNA from 1 species
UCCAGACUCCUACGGGAGGCAGCAGUGGGGAAUAUUGCACAAUGGGGGGAACCCUGAUGCAGCGACGCCGCGUGAGUGAAGAAGUAUUUCGGUAUGUAAAGCUCUAUCAGCAGGGAAGAAGAUGACGGUACCUGACUAAGAAGCCCCGGCUAACUACGUGCCAGCAGCCGCGGUAAUACGUAGGGGGCAAGCGUUAUCCGGAUUUACUGGGUGUAAAGGGAGCGUAGACGGCAGGGCAAGUCUGGAGUGAAAGCCCGGGGCCCAACCCCGGGACUGCUUUGGAAACUGCCAUGCUGGAGUGCUGGAGAGGUAAGCGGAAUUCCUAGUGUAGCGGUGAAAUGCGUAGAUAUUAGGAGGAACACCAGUGGCGAAGGCGGCUUACUGGACUGUAACUGACGUUGAGGCUCGAAAGCGUGGGGAGCAAACAGGAUUAGAUACCCUAGUAA